UCGUAGAGAAAGCAUUUAUUAUUUUCAUAAAUAAAACAGUAUAAUAUAGGUAGGUACCAAUAUUAUGAGCCACGGUCAAUAUCGAUACAUCUGCAGGGUUAUUGGUUGUAUACAUAAAUGUAUGUUAAUUACUAUAUUAUAUUAUUGUAACAGAAUUCAUAAUAAUUAUCGGUGUUGGCAUAGGGAUAUUCAAGGAACAGUCAAGUGCGUCGAACGAGACUUUGAUAAUAAAUAUGUCGCAGGAAGUGGUGAAACCACUUGUUUGGUUUAUAUUGUAAUAUUGUAAUAUCGUAAUAAUGUAAAGGCAAAAAACCACGAACCUUCGUCUAAGGUUCUUCACUCAAGUACUCAGACUGCGACUCGUUGAAGGAUAAUAUACGGCAACUUUGUGUGCGGUAUAGUAAUUUUGAGUCAUAACUAGAGAAUUUCAUAAAAUUUCGAUUAACUCUCUCCGACCGACGUCAAUCAACAGAUGCAACACGGGGGUCUCUGCGCUGCAGACAACAGACGCAUAUAUUAUAUUAUUUUCUAGAAAUAGGCCUCUUGAACGUGUACGCAGUACGACCAACGAUAUUAAAAAACGAAAUAAACGAUUUUAAUUUCCCAGAGUUCCCCUUUUAUGUUAUGCCUCUUAAACAUUUUAUGUGCUCCGCAACAAAUCUAUUUUCUUUUCGACGUGCACGUAUACGAACGUCGACUGUUCAGACGACGACAAAGAAUACAAAACUAAAUCGGCAACAGAACGAAAACGCCAUUACGGCACAUGUGGUGAUGAUGGUUAAUGCUUUUCGAGACCGACUUCGAGUUCAGCUCACCAUGCGUAGUCGUUUAAAUUGUUCCAUUCAAUCGAUAAUAUAUACGCAAUAGCAAUUAUUAUUAUACGCGUGGGCCAUCUACAGACCGUCCACGAUUUAAUAUUAUUAUACUUUUUUACGAACAUCAAAGAGCCAUAAUAUAGCGGCUUGGUGUAAAAUCUCCGUAAUUAUUACGCACACAGCUGGUAUGGUACCUUCAUUUUUCAUAUGGUACGACUGAGAAGAAAAAGCCAAAAAGGGGACAGCCAUUGUAUUUAUAUACACGUACACCGUAUUGUAAGAGUACUAAGCUAAUUGUUCAAGUAUUGACAUGUUAGUAUUUUACAUUAUGGUACAUAAUAAUCGUACAUUAUAUUGUAAAUAUUAAUCAUUUUAUGAAUAGAAAAUGUACAGAUGAAAAAUAUUUUUGGUACCUAUCUAUCUAAGGAUUAUUAAGGAUAAAAGUAUUAAAUAUAAUAAAAAAAUACACUUUUUAUUUGUCUACAACAUGUUAUGUUUUGCCAUUAACUUUAACAUGAAAGAUUAUACGCAGUUAACUCAAAGUAAGUACCUAGAAAAUGCUUUGUGGGACAAUAAAUAUGUACAUUACACAAAGUACGUGAUGUUUGGAAAAUACAAUUUGAAAACUUUCUUUUGUAGUGAAAUGCACUAACAUCAAUCGACACUCAUAUACCUACUUAAUAAUUAUAAAUAAAUAUAACUCAUUUAUAGUUACACACCAGUACAUUAUAUUUGAUGUGUUUUUUUUUAAUCGAUUAAAUGUAAUUAUGUACUCAAGAUCUUAAAUUAUCUUACCUACUAACUCACUUUGUUACUAAAAAAAUAAAAAUUUUUUUGCUAAUAAACAAGAAUAAUAGUUGUAAGAUUAGUAUUUAAGUUAAAGAAAAAC